rnacentral:rRNA from 1 species
UACAGAGGUCUCAAGCGUUGUUCGGAUUCAUUGGGCGUAAAGGGUGCGUAGGCGGCGCGGUAAGUCGGGUGUGAAAUCUCGGAGCUUAACUCCGAAACUGCAUUCGAUACUGCCGUGCUUGAGGACUUGAGAGGAGACUGGAAUUUACGGUGUAGCGGUGAAAUGCGUAGAUAUCGUAAGGAAGACCAGUGGCGAAGGCGGGUCUCUGGACAGUUCCUGACGCUGAGGCACGAAGGUCAGGGGAGCAAACGGG